ACUACGGGAGGCAGCAGUGGGGGAUAUUGCACAAUGGGGGGAACCCUGAUGCAGCGACGCCGCGUGGGUGAAGAAGCGCCUCGGCGCGUAAAGCCCUGUCAGCAGGGAAGAAAAUGACGGUACCUGAAGAAGAAGCCCCGGCCAACUACGUGCCAGUAGCCGCGGUAAUACGUAGGGGGCAAGCGUUAUCCGGAUUUACUGGGUGUAAAGGGGGCGCAGACGUCGAUGCAAGCCAGGAGUGAAAGCCCGGGGCCCAACCCCGGGUCUGAUCUUGGAACUGCGUGGCUGGAGUGCAGGAGGGGCAGGCGGAAUUCCUGGUGUAGCGGUGAAAUGCGUAGAUAUCAGGAGGAACACCGGUGGCGAAGGCGGCCUGCUGGACUGCAACUGACGUUGAGGCCCGAAAGCGUGGGGAGCAAACAGGAUUAGAUACCCCAGUAGUC
rnacentral:rRNA from 1 species